rnacentral:rRNA from 1 species
AUUGAACGCUGGCGGCAGGCCUAACACAUGCAAGUCGAGCGAGCGGCGGACGGGUGAGUAAUGUAUGGGGCUCUGCCCGAUAGAGGGGGAUAACUACUGGAAACGGUGGCUAAUACCGCAUACUGUCGGAUGAUGCCAUCUGGGAUUAGCUGGUAGGUGGGGUACAGGCUCACCUGGGCGACGAUCACUAGCUGGUCUGCGAGGAUGAUCGGCCACACUGGGACUGAGACACGGCCCAGACUCCUACGUGAGGCAGCAGGGGGGAAGAUUGCACAAUGGGCGCAAGCCUGAUGCAGCCAUGCCGCGUGUAUGAAUAAGGCCUGAGGGUUGUAAAGUACUUUCAGCGGGGAGGCGUUACCCGCAGAAGAAGCACCGGCUAACUCCGUGCCAGCAGCCGCGGUAAUUC